rnacentral:rRNA from 1 species
AGAUUGAACGCUGGCGGAAUGCUUUACACAUGCAAGUCGAACGGCAGCACGGGGGCAACCCUGGUGGCGAGUGGCGAACGGGUGAGUAAUACAUCGGAACGUGCCCAGUCGUGGGGGAUAACUACGCGAAAGCGUAGCUAAUACCGCAUACGAUCUACGGAUGAAAGCGGGGGAUCGCAAGACCUCGCGCGAUUGGAGCGGCCGAUGGCAGAUUAGGUAGUUGGUGGGGUAAAGGCUCACCAAGCCGUCGAUCUGUAGCUGGUCUGAGUGGACGACCAGCCACACUGGGACUGAGACACGGCCCAGACUCCUACGGAGGCAGCAGUGGGAAUUUUGGACAAUGGGCGCAAGCCUGAUCCAGCCAUGCCGCGUGUGUGAAGAAGGCCUGGUUGUAAGCACUUUGUCCGUAAGAAAGACGCUGGUUAACACCUGGUAGUCCUGACGUACCGGAAGAUAAG